GGCCAGGUAGCUCAGUUGGUAGAGCAGGGGACUGAAAAUUCCCGUGUCGGCGGUUCAAGUCCGUCUCUGGCCACCA
rnacentral:tRNA from 3 species